rnacentral:lncRNA from 1 species
CACCGGCACAGUGCGCAGGCGCGAGAGCCUCCUCUGGUUAUAUAAGAGAGGUCUAGGGCGUUUCUCGUUCCUUUGCGUCUUUGGCCCUGGUUCUUCUGUCUUGUGUUGGGUCGUACCUCAUCCGACCCAUCCGAUGAAGUCUGGGCCCGGAAACUCGGGUUUGCUACUGUGUGUGGUGAGUGGAGAUCCUGUUGUUUUCUCUUCGAGAUCUCUGUUCCUCCUUUUUCCUCUUUGCUGUCGCCCCUGCCCGGUCUCUCUCUACUGACCUUAAAUGGGCCUUAAGGCUUUGAGGAGACGAGUUUAAACUGGGAAAAAUCCGCGCCUGCCUGCGGACCUGAGGAGUCCUUGGCUGGUGUAAAUGAUGACUUCGCUUUUUUCCCCAUCAGAUCGACAAUGGUGAUGUCUUUGAACACUUGCCAGUUAGUUCUGAUACACCAGCCUCACGAGGCCCGGCCAUGUUCUUUUCCAACCGUGGGAAGGAUGUCGAUUGAUGCCCCUUUUUUGGUUCGCAGGUUGGCGCGAUCAGAGGGUACCGAAUGGAUCUUGGAGGAGGGAGGCACUCGCUGCUGGGCCUCCAAGAGACCCCCACGUAGACGUCUCCAGCCUUCGGUCUCCUGACUUGGGGUAAGCAUAGGUCUCCUGGCCUAUUGUAGGAAAUGCGUGCUGUGGGGAGCCUUUUCACCUGCUAAGCAGACUUGGGGGGAAAGAAAUGAAGAUUUUAAUUUUUGACAGAGCGUGAGUGGGGGAGGAGCAACAGAAAAGACAGGAUCUGAAGCGGGCUCCGCGCCCAUUGCAGUGAGCUCCAUGCGGGACUGGAACUCACAAACUGUGAGUCGUGACCUGAGCCAAAGUAGGAUGCUCAAUGGACUGAGCCACCCAGGUCCCUCUCUCUGUCUUAAUGUUUAUUUUGAGAGAGCAUUCCCCUGAGUGCAGAGCCAGAUGAGCGACUUGAUCUCAUGAAUUGUAAGAUCAUGGCCUGAGCAGAAAUCAGGAGUUAAGAGGCUCAACUGACUGAGCCACCCAGACGAUCCAAGGAAUGGUCUCUUUAAGGUGAAUAGAUGCUAAUUUUUUAAGGCUUAUUUUGAGAGUACGUGGGAGUGGAGGUGAGACCAAGAGAGAGGGGGUAAGAGAAUCCUGACUGAGCCACCCCGGGGCCCCUAGCUCAUUGUUAAAUGCCUUAGUGCUCCUGAAAGCACAUUUUUGGGUCCCAUUCCUUCACAUGUGAUGUGGGUUUUUUGGUUUUCGUUUUUGUGAUACACCGUUGUGUGCACUUAGAUUUCCAAGUGGAUGGAUAACACGAUCAUGGGGCAGCCUGGUGCGGUGGAGGCCGAGGCUGUGUGUGCUGGUGGUAAAAGGGUUCACCUAAGGCAGAACAAGGGAGAUGGAAUACACUGCAAGGGAGAGACUGGCAGGAGGCAGUGCGGGGGUGGGGGUGUAGUUACGAGAGACUUUAAAAUUCUAAGUAGUCUCUACACCCUUUGUGUAGCUUGGAUUUCCGACUCCAAGAUCGAGUCACAUGCUCUACCAACCCAGCCAGCCAGAUCGAUGCCCCACGUAAGGAUUUUUUUUUUAUUUUUAAAGAAAAGCGAAGUGUGUUGACCUAGACGCUCAAGCUAAUCUUGCACUGUGUACCCUUUAAAUUCACUUGAGUCCAGGAAUGACCUCUUAAGGGCAGGACUUAACUGGGGGGACAGAUUUUUCUUAAAACUUGCAGUCCCAGAGUGUUUCUGUAAGUACACCCUCAGAAAGCAGGGGUGUCUAUCUUAGUUGUUACUGCCAACAGAAUACAGGUGUGCUCAAACGUUGACUAUGCAGGUGUUAGAAGUAGAUCAAGCAAAUAUUCCUUGUUCAGUCCUUUUUCUGCGAGAACAAGAGCUCCCUACUGGCAUAUAUGAUGACUGAACUUUUUUCCCCAACAGAUCGACCAUGUUGAUCUAACUUUUCUAAGCCAGUUUUUGUCUGAUAUGCCAGUUGGAGCAGCUCCUCUGUUCCCCACACCCUUGGGCAUCUAGCUGAUUGGGACCUCCUGGUUUUUUUUCAUCUCAGAUUUACUGUUGGCAGAAAGCAGGCUUCCAAGUGGACCAGGAGUGGGAAGUGAUGUCCACGUGGCUGAGUAGACACAGGAUCUGGAGAAGGGAGAGGUAGUAAUUGCUUUUCUUUUAAAUUGUAAGUGAUCUCUACACCCAGCAUGCAGCUCAAACUCAGGACACUGAAAUCAAGAGUUGCAUACUCUUCCAACUAAGCCAUCCAGGCACCCCUACUUUCACUUUAAUUUUAAAUGUGGGGAUUGUCCUCCUCGUGUUCUGUUCUAACUCAAAUUUGGUCAUUGCAGCUGAUGACAUAACUUUUUUCCCCAUCAGAUCGACCCUGUUGAUCUAACUGAACCAUUAGCCAGUGUUUUGUCUGAUGCUUUGGCCCCAGAGAUAACUUCUAUCUCUAUCCUUCUAUGUGGGUUUUGUUUUUAGUGGGGUUUGAGCUUGCUCUGCUUUUUUCCUCCAAGGAAUUGGGUCCUUUAUCUUGGUUUUAUCUGCUAACUUCUUACAGGUCCGGAGCCCUGUGAGGCACAGGGCAGUAAGUCGAUUGAUGUAGACUGAUCUGCUUGUUUCAAGUCUGUCCCAUAACAGGUGAGGUUUCUGCAAAUGGCAUUAUUUGUCAGUCCCCUUGUAAGAAGGUUA